GUGAAUCAUCGAAUUUUUGAACGCAAAUUGCACUCUCUUCGGAGAGUAUGCCUGUUUGAGGGUCAGCCUAAAAAAAUCGACAUAGUUGCUGGUUCGCGGUAACAUUCGUCGGGAAUUGGGUCAUCUUAAACCUUUUGGUUUAAGCGGCUUAAAAUUUUCUUUACGAUUCCCAAAACGUUUCUAAGAUUUUAUUUUCUUAUACGUCUAAGGUAUCGAUCUUUAUUAAGCUUUGCCGGUGG
rnacentral:misc_RNA from 1 species